rnacentral:rRNA from 1 species
GACGAACGCUGGCGGCGUGCCUAAUACAUGCAAGUUGAGCGAUGAAGAUUGGUGCUUGCACCAAUUUGAAGAGCAGCGAACGGGUGAGUAACGCGUGGGGAAUCUGCCUUUGAGCGGGGGACAACAUUUGGAAACGAAUGCUAAUACCGCAUAAUAACUUUAAACAUAAGUUUUAAGUUUGAAAGAUGCAAUUGCAUCACUCAAAGAUGAUCCCGCGUUGUAUUAGCUAGUUGGUGAGGUAAAGGCUCACCAAGGCGAUGAUACAUAGCCGACCUGAGAGGGUGGACGGCCACAUUGGGACUGGGACACGGCCCAAACUCCUACGGGAGGCAGCAGGAGGGAAUCUUCGGCAAUGGGCGGAAGGCUGACCGAGCAACGCCGCGGGAGGGAAGAAGGGUUUCGGAUCGUAAAACUCUGUUGGUAGAGAAGAACGUUGGUGAGAGUGGAAAGCUCAUCAAGUGACGGUAACUACCCAGAAAGGGACGGCUAACUACGUG